UGUAAAAUCAGCAUCAGGUAAGAUUACUCACGUUCAUUUAUGCACUCUGUUACAUAAUCUUUUAAUUACAGAUGUACCUUUAAACUAAAGAAACCACACAUUAACAUGGUUUAGCUAUACUAGCCAUUUAGUAUUUAUUGUGUAAUACUAAUGUUAAUCAAUCCGAAUGACUAUAUGCAAUCAUAGACAGUAAAAUUCAACGGAGACAAGUGAAGUACUUCCUGGGGGUCGAGCGUAGCCAAGUAGCAGACUCAAACUGAGUUUGAUGACAUAGAUGUGAUGUGAGCAACCAGUCUGGCUGUGCCAAAAGGAAUCUGAAUCACCCAGAGACGGCGAGCGUGAACCGGAGCACAGUUUGUGCACGCAUAUGGAGUGCGUGAUUUCUGUGACGCCCAGAUGUACAAAACAGACCCUCCCAUCUCUGUAAUAAACACGGAGAUGUUAGUCCCGUCCGAAUUGGUGCAUGAAAAUCGCAGACGUCAGCUGACACAAAUAAGCAGCAAUGCCUUCUUAAGGCUUCAAAGGAGGCCAACAGGAACACAGUCCAGGAUAAACCAGCUUGUGAGGAAGCCAAAAAGAGAUGCCAGUCCAUUACCUCGACUCCAUCAGACGUGCAGUACCUUGGCCAGCUCCAGAUUACAUUUGGCAAAUACAACGGCCAAAGUUUUAAAUUGCAGCUGAAGAACGAUGUUGGCUACAUUUUAGUAUGCUGUACUUAACAGAAUUAACAUUUUUUUAUAACUUUUUUUUUUUUUUUUUUCACAAAUUGAUUACCUUAUGUGAUAUUUUAGUCUGCUUGAUAUGCAAAUAAAAGAACGCCACCAUCAUGAAAGAAAAGCGAGCCCUGACCGAGUGGGUGAAUGAUCUCCUUCUGAGGUAUGUGCAGCUGUUUCCACAAGUCUCCUGUCACCUGAAGAUCUACGUGGACAGGGAGAUUAAUGGGCAGGGCCGCUUCAGGUCGAUUACAUUCCUGGAGUUGUGACAGGGGUACAGCCUGCACAAGACUCUUCAGAUUGACCCACAAGCCGGGACCACAAGCUCCAGCUCCUCAGGGUCCAAAGGUGAUGGUGGCUGUGUUUGUGAUGCUCUGCUGGUUGAAGCUCUUACCUCCUUUGAAAGAUGAGCAGUUGGGGGUAGAAAAAAGUCUCCAGAAAAAGACUCCCAUCCAGAUCCUGCACAGAAGCCAACCACAGACUGUUUCACCGUAUGCUGCUCAUGCAUCAGUUCCUGCAUCAGCACCUCAGCCAUGCCUGGGUACUGCGACAUCAGCAGCAGACACAGCACAUCCUGAGGUGACGCUUUAGGGUUGGCACAACAUGUGGGAGUCUGGUCCUAAUGGGCUCACCAGCGCAGACAUAACGUGGCUAAAGGAGGAUGCUGAAAGAGGACUUUUUCAGAGGGCAAUGUCUUAUAAAGACAAGCACGGCAGCACGAGGCGG